GAUGAACGCUGGCGGCGUGCCUAAUACAUGCAAGUCGAGCGAACGGACGAGAAGCUUGCUUCUCUGAUGUUAGCGGCGGACGGGUGAGUAACACGUGGAUAACCUACCUAUAAGACUGGGAUAACUUCGGGAAACCGGAGCUAAUACCGGAUAAUAUUUUGAACCGCAUGAUUCAAAAGUGAAAGACGGUCUUGCUGUCACUUAUAGAUUGAUCCGCGCUGCAUUAGCUAGUUGGUAAGGUAACGGCUUACCAAGGCAACGAUGCAUAGCCGACCUGAGAGGGUGAUCGGCCACACUGGAACUGAGACACGGUCCAGACUCCUACGGGAGGCAGCAGUAGGGAAUCUUCCGCAAUGGGCGAAAGCCUGACGGAGCAACGCCGCGUGAGUGAUGAAGGUCUUCGGAUCGUAAAACUCUGUUAUUAGGGAAGAACAUAUGUGUAAGUAACUGUGCACAUCUUGACGGUACCUAAUCAGAAAGCCACGGCUAACUACGUG
rnacentral:rRNA from 1 species